GACGUAGGGGGCCAGCGUUGUUCGGAAUUACUGGGUGUAAAGGGUCAGUAGGCGGUGUGGCAAGUCGGGAGUGAAAUCUCUGAGCUCAACUCAGAGGCUGCUUCCGAAACUGCCAUGCUUGAAUGUGGGAGAAACGCGUGGAAUUGCAGGUGUAGCGGUGAAAUGCGUAGAUAUCUGCAAGAACACCCAUGGCGAAAGCAGCGCGCUGGACCACAACUGACGCUGAAUGACGAAAGCUAGGGGAGCAAACAGG
rnacentral:rRNA from 1 species